AACUUCUUUUUUUGUUUUUUUUCUGGGGGUGAAGACGGGUAUAGUUAUGUAUCUUGUUUAGACCACAUUCAAUGCUAUGUUUCAGAUUGCAACACAUUCCUUUUAUAACUACUUAUGUUCCAAGCUCUGUGUUCAACUAUUCUCGGUUGUAGGUCAUUGCAAAAAUACACUUUAGGGAACGUUUAUCUUCUGCGGUUGUCCACACCUGUGGUGCUUGUUUGCAAACACAGUGAGAUCGUUCGGCGCGCCCUGUUUCUACAGGCCGAUGUUUUCUUGGUUUGAUCGUUGGCAAGAGGGAGUGUUAUGGACACUUAAGCCGCCUUGUUUCCGUUGCAGGAAGUGGACGGGUGCUGAGCCGAUCGCCGAUGAAGCGGCGAUAAUGGGGCCCCUCGCCAAGUUGCUUUCAUCGCACUUGCGCAACUACGCGAGCUGUUGCCGUGCACGCCGACCCCCACCAGCAUAACUCAUCCCGGAGCAAGAAAGAACAAAGAAGCACGCAGGGCCGCCGUUCUUUUCCGGAACCAACAUGAAAUCGUACCACCGCCACCCGCCGCAACAAGCACCGACCCACCAAGAAGCGGACGAACCCGUUUUUCGGCCGCUGCGCCGCUUUAACUGGGUCCCCGUCCGCAAGAGGCCGCCACGCUACCACUCCCCUCUCGUCACGUGCUGCCGCACCAGCCAAUCGGCGCUCGCCGCUGGUGGCGCCCCGUGCGGCGGCUACUCGAACGACGCGUUCGCCGUCUGCUUCCGCUCAGAGCCUCCGGAGCACCCGAACGAGCGGGAGGUUGCCUCCGAUGGAGUCGUUCGUGUGAGUUCCGCGACUGACGCCAGUCGUCGAGCCCUAGGGCCCGUCGACUGCGGCCCAACCCUGGCCCGGCAGCGGAGCGGGCACCCCGGAGCCGCCGCGGGGUCGGCCACGGCGGCGACCAGGCUGGAACCGAGUCACCAAAGCCAUCACCACAGUCACCACCACCACCACCACGAAGUGCUGCCAGACAUCCUGAACGCGCAUUUGCCCCCGCCGUACGCUACCCUUCCGCAGCGGCGGCAUCUUCCGCCGCCUCCGCCGAGGCUUAGGCCUCCCCGAUGUGUUGUGGAUACCGAGGUCGUGGAGCCCAAGCACUGCUGCGGGGUUCUGGUGACGCAGACCGUGAGCAUCCGCUGGUUUAUCGUCAUGAUCGCCUUCGUCGGGCUGUGUUGUGCGAUCGUCGGUACGGUGCUCGGUGCGCUCAAGGCGACGGGGAGGGAGCAUCUGACCGUCUCGCUGCUCAUGAUCGGCGUGGGCAUCGUGCUGAUCACGGUCAGCGGCAUCGCGUGGCGGCUCACCUCGCACGAGGCGCCCUCGUGUCGGGCCAUGCUGGGGCUCAGGCCAGACGAGCCCAACCGGAGGUUCGUGCCCAGGGUCCCGCCCUACGGACGGCCCAACCACCCGUACGCCGCGAUGCUGUACCCGGAGUUCCAGUACAGGCCUCCGCCGCCGUCGUACCAGGCGUCGAUGCAGGAGUACCGGCUGCGGCUGCUGCUGCUGGACCGGGGCGGUCCCGCGGUGCCCCCCAGCGUGGUGCCCCUGGCCACCCCCGUGGCGGCCAGCGUGGUGGCUCCGACCCACCACGCGCCCGUGGUGCUCACCGCCACGCCCCUGUCGCCCGUCUCGCCGCCACCCACCUACCGGUCCGGCAUGCACACCAGGCCUCCGCUGACGUUUCCGACGGCAGAACGGGAACAGAGCCGACCCCCCAGCUACCGGUCCCGGACGAGUUCUGCGGGCGGAAUCCUGAGGUCCUGCGUGGGCGGUGACGUGUCCUGCAGCCAGGACACCCUGGCCACCGUCAGUCCGGCCUCCCCUCCCUCGUGCACCGAGUCCUGCAACGGCGUCCCGGGAAGCGGCGGCGGCGGCCUGCACAGCCGGAACCCGUCUCUGACCCUGAGCACCCUGUCCCAAGACGACGUCACCAGGGGGGUCACCCGGGACACCCCGAGCCCCCCCUGCAACGUGGGCAGGAGCGAACUGCUGAGGAAGAACCACGACGUGAACACGGUGACGAUCGUGCAGACGACGGACACGUCGCAGGUCAUCAACCAGGACACGGUGAUCGUGUCCGUGUCCGGACAGAACGCCAGGACGCUCGUGCUGCCGUCGGGACAUUCCGAGGUUCAGGUCACGCUGGCCCACGUGUGACCCCACGCGACUCUGGUGUGUGUGUGUGUGCGUGUGCGCGAUUACGCCUUUUGGGGCGACAGGUCAUCUGGAUGCCAGAUGCACCGCUGCGAGAGGUCCAGAUGUGAAUGCCCGUGAAGGUUUGGCACCCACCCUCUCUCUCUCUCUGGGCCAGGCAGGAUGACACUCCACCAGUUUCGCAAGUCAGCGCCCAGCACCAUUGUGAAUAUGUGUAUAAGGACAAGCAUAACGAUACAAGAAUCUGUGCAUAAGGACAACCGGACAAUACAAGAAUCUGUGCAUACGGACAACGAAGCGAGCGUUUUCUUUUUUUUUUUUUUUUCCGGGACCGCAAAACCUUCGAUGACUGACCAAGCAAGGAAAGCGACCUUCAAGGUUCUAGGAAGUGUUGCGUCUUGCGGUGUUCUCACUGCAGUAUUUUACGACUUCAGCGGCUGUCUAUAGAUAAGGUACAGGGAACUUCGUGUUGCAUUCUAAACCCACACAGUGCUUGAAACGCAAAAGUGAGCAGUCAAGGCUCGCACUUAACUGGAUCUUUUUACAGACCUGAAGUUUCUUCUCUGAAGUUAUUUCGUGGUUUAUUUUAUGAUUUAGACUUCCUUCAUUUAAGCGAAAUGAUAUGCGUUUGCGCCGUGUAAUUUUAAGAGGAUAAACAUCAAAAUCACGGAUCAUACGUUUCUCCCAGAUACAAAAAGAAAAAUGACGAAGUCCCCAUAAGAUCACAGAACUGCAAUGUCAGAAAGAUUGAGUCAUUUUCUGCAAUAACUACUCGCUCCUAGCAUUUAGUCGUAAAUAUGUUUCAUAUGGGGAACUGCGAUAGUGCAUUAUUUCUAUCUUAGUUAGGUACUCCGUUGAAGGAGGUGCUAGCUGCUAACCUCCAGUUUAAAAGUUAACAAAAAUUUCCUUAGCCAGAAUCAUCACAUAAUUUUUUUUUCAAACAAAUGGUGACAAGUACCAUGCUAGCGGCAGCGACUUGACAGAUUAAUUAACAUGCAUUAUUUCAUGGCAUUUGCGCAUUAUAGCAGUGCAACAAGCAAAACGUGUACCAGCAAUUCAAAAAUCGAUUGUUAUUCGCCCAGCAUUUUGCGUUUCGGAGGCUUUCACUAUGGCUACCUUGUUUAGCGACAGAUUAUGUCAACUGUUCUCACUCGGUUAAAAAACUGCCGAUUGUAAUUCAAACUUGUAGGCAAGGUCACAACGACUGAUAACUGCAAACUCCCCUUUAUUAGAGUUAGUUUUAUACAAUUUUUUUUUUGUAACAUAUUUACAGGCCUCCAGUUUAGAGCAUACAGACUUAUUCAAUAAGAUUUUCAUUUGUCAGCAUUCGUCAGCGUUUCAUAGUAGCUGAGAUUUUUCAAUAUCCUGUUAUUUAUCAAUUUGUUUUGUUACUAUUUGCGUAAGCUUUGUUUUUGUUAUAUUAACAGUUGCAAACUAAUGAACAUCAUCUAAAAGGGACUUGAGAAAAAAAAAAAAAAAAAACAUGUUGCGUCUUUCUGGGAAAUUGCAUCGACUUUAUCACAAGUGAACACUUACAAAUGCUGACGUCAAAGAAUUACGUUUGUUUGCGAUGUGCAACAUGCGAACACUUCUGUGUCAAUACGAGUAUUCUACAGACAAGUGAGUGGAGGUACGACUAGUGUACAUAGGCGAGAAGAUUGUUCCAAUGGCGUGACUACGCUGUGGUAUUCUGACGACGUUGUACAUAGCUACCUGGGAACAAGAUGUAUUGUGAAUGUCACCUCGGCAUGAAUGAACUAAUGUGUGUCCAAAGUGUGUGUGAAUGUGUGUGAGUUCAAGUGUUUUAUGAAUCGCUUAAGAUGUGAUCGUCGAACCCUGCCCACACGCAGUGAGGCUGCUGAGCAACAUACAAUUCUCAAGCGUACUGUAGGAGCAUGCUAUUAAAAACAAAUCUACUUAGCUGUUUUCCAAAACAAAUUCUUUAAUGUCUUUAGUUUAUAAUGCUUUAUUAGUAGGCUAUGCUAAUUAGUGGUUUGUUAGUUUCUACCAGUGAGGAACUAGAAGCUCCAGUAAUGUGUCUCUCCUUAGUUAUAUGCAGCAUUGAAACAUCAAUAGAAUAAUUAAUGUGAUCCCGGCUUUAGCCCUUUUCUUUAUUGGUGCCAUAAUAGAAGCCAUUAAUGUUAUAUUUUCCUCGGAUGUUAACUCAACUGUAAGCCUUUGAACACUGUUUAAUUUUGCGCUCUAAAGUAAAAAAUUAAGAAUUCAAUAGAAUGUUAAUAUACGAGAAAACAUUUUUGAACAUCAGAUACGUUGUGAAAAACCUUUUACAACGUUUUGACAUGCAAAAGCAAAGUUAGUUAUUUUUAUUAUUAGAAAUCUUAGCUUGUUAAUAGUGAAAUCAUGUUUCAAAGCUAAUUUCGGUGUGAAACAAAGAAAACCAAAGUGCAACGGAGAAACGCACUUGCGGGGAUAUUCCUCGAUGCAUUUCCUGCAGCUUUACAGCGCGCUUGAACGAACUCAUUUGCAUAUUAUAACGUGCAUGUUUUAUUCACACUUAGCUAGUCAUUUGAAGUCGUUGGUUCCGUUACAGCUCAGGGUGUGUGAUAAGACCCGUCGGCUGAUUACUUUUCCUGAAUAUUUUUAGACCCCCCCUCCCUUAUUUUUUCUAAUCGUGUCUUUAAUUUUAAAGGGCUACUUGAAGUGAUAUCUAUUCUACCCGCGCGUGCCAUGUGCGAGAUGCUCAAUCUUCGUUCUAAGCUCGAGCGAGACUCGGGAGUCGGUAAAAGCCGAAGUAACAUAUACUUUUCGAACCGUCGCUCUAUAACGAGCAAAACAUUACAUCUUAGAAAUGAAACGCACAAUUCUUAGUAAACGAGCUGACCAAUAAAAAAAAAAACGAAAAGUGGACACCUUCAUUUGAAUCGAUAGAUUGCAAAGGCGCAGUUUCCGAACAAAAAAGCUUUCCCAUGGAGUAUGAAUAGGAUUCCGCGUUUUCGGAGUUUAUUUCUCGUGAAAUUCGGAGGGUUUUUGUUUUCGAACUUCAUUUUUCUCUGAAAAUUCGGUGUUUAUUGGAGUUUACUUGUCUUGAAUUUCUCAUUCUUUAAAAUUGAAAGUUUAAUUUACUAAGUUCCCAAUUAUUAAAAAAACAAAAAUCCGGGUACCAUGACCCGUUGUUCCGAAGGGACCUUGACGAGCUAAGAGGCAAAAUCCUUUUGUCAGUAGUUCGAGACUUCCAAUGAAAAUGAAGUGGCAUUUCCUCAGUACCACUAACCCUGUGCUUUUAUAAAGUGUUUUUUUUUUUUUUUUUGGUCGUUGUGAUUUCUAAAGUAUGAGUUUUACGGGUAAAUCGGAUUUGAUGGACAAUUUACCGGCGAGGGAUUUAGAGAUUUUUUUUUCUCUCCAGGUUUAUUCGAAAACACGGAACCCUAGGUAUGUACACAAUCCGAGCAAGGAAAGCAACCUUCAAGGCUGGUUUCCUUGCUCAAGGCUGAAAAAUAUGUCUUAAGCACAUUUCGCGUGCCUAGGUCAUGUUCCGUGUUACAGCGCAGAGACUGUUUUCAGGGUCUAAAGGUAUUUUCAGUCUCCCCAUUCGGCGAGUUGCCUCCGUGAGUUGCAGCGAUUGGCUGUCCCGUUUGAUUUGCGAGAAAGUGGAUACACUGAGUUAGUUCGAGUGUAUCGUCACCGAGAGCCUGAAAAAACGCAGGGUAUGGCUUAUAUUAGGGUUUCUUGCUUUCGGCAAAUACCGAUAAAUACCGAAAAUGAACCCCCGUAACGGUUUUAUGGAACUCGGGGAAAAUGAAAAAUUUAUGAAUUGGGGCCGUCAUCGACUGAGAAAAGUCAGAGCUACGAGGAAGAAAAAUUAGUGUUUAGUUUCAUUUUACGUUAACCCUAAGUAGAACCCCCACAGAACUGUCCGUGAGGCUGUUUCAUUCUUCGAAACCACAUCGCCUAUCCCAUUUUCAUUUCUUUACGGCAUAAACACGUUCUCUCUAAGUAUUCAUAACGUGACCUAUGUUCUCCGAAGGUUGGGAAAUCCCAUUCCCGUGUCUUAUUUUCUGAAACGUAAAUCCCGAUAAACGCCGAUUUUUUUUUUUUUUUCUGACUCCGAAUAUUGACACUCAAAACCACCGAAUCUGUGGGAAAAAAAUGAACUCCGAAAAAGCACCCCCGAUAUUGAAGAAAAAUAAACCCCGAAAACAGGCUUCUCGCUUCGCGAUUGAUAGACAACUUGGGCGGUCUUGCCGGCCAAUGCUGCAUCCUCAUUGGCUGGCUGCUGAGCAGCCAAUGGGAAUGCUCGCUCGGGACAUUGCCACGCCCUGCGUUUUUUAAGCUGGCACGUGACCGUACAGGAGGCUGUGAAGAUUACCAAAAUACUGCAAAAGACACACACGACGCACCCAGAUAUGUGCUCAGUCUUACUGGCGACGCCAUGACACCAUUUUAGGCGAAACAGAUGUUUUUUGUUUUUUUUUCACGUGUUACCAACCUUGACUUCUUUCGCGAGGUUACAUAAACAUUAAGAUACGUGACACUUGAAGUAGCCCUUUAGAAGUAUAAAUAGACAGUGCGAAAACAACAAUGUAACGGGCCCAUAUGCUUAUGGCUGCAAUGUAUACGUAGAUUUUUUUUUUUUUUUUUUUUGUGAAGAUGCGUGACUGUGUCGUGUGCGUGGAUCCCGCCCUAGGAAAUAAAACACACAAAAAACAACUCGGUUGUCGCGUGACGACCGCCUAACCAGUAUACAUGUGUACUAUAAUAUCACCACUGCUGUUCUUUGAAUACGAGAUAUCUAUUUUAAUGUAUCAUACACCAUCCUUACCCCAGUUGGUGCGACAAAAAAAGAAAUAAAAUCCUUUUCCGUAGAUGGGAGGGGCAAAGGGCCCGCUCUUACGGGGAAGUAAAAUAAAAAUGCUUUGAAA